rnacentral:rRNA from 1 species
AUACAGAGGGUGCGAGCGUUAAUCGGAAUUACUGGGAGUAAAGCGCGCGUAGGCGGCUUAUUAAGUCAGAUGUGAAAUCCCCGGGCUCAACCUGGGAACUGCAUCUGAUACUGGUAAGCUAGAGUUUUGGAGAGGGAAGUAGAAUUUCAGGUGUAGCGGUGAAAUGCAUAGAGAUCUGAAGGAAUACCAGUGGCGAAGGCGACUUCCUGGCCAAAAACUGACGCUGAGGUGCGAAAGCGUGGGUAGCAAACGGGAUUAGAAACCCCUGUAGUCC